rnacentral:rRNA from 2 species
CAGUCGAACGAACUCUGGUAUUGAUUGGUGCUUGCAUCAUGAUUUACAUUUGAGUGAGUGGCGAACUGGUGAGUAACACGUGGGAAACCUGCCCAGAAGCGGGGGAUAACACCUGGAAACAGAUGCUAAUACCGCAUAACAACUUGGACCGCAUGGUCCGAGCUUGAAAGAUGGCUUCGGCUAUCACUUUUGGAUGGUCCCGCGGCGUAUUAGCUAGAUGGUGGGGUAACGGCUCACCAUGGCAAUGAUACGUAGCCGACCUGAGAGGGUAAUCGGCCACAUUGGGACUGAGACACGGCCCAAACUCCUACGGGAGGCAGCAGUAGGGAAUCUUCCACAAUGGACGAAAGUCUGAUGGAGCAACGCCGCGUGAGUGAAGAAGGGUUUCGGCUCGUAAAACUCUGUUGUUAAAGAAGAACAUAUCUGAGAGUAACUGUUCAGGUAUUGACGGUAUUUAACCAGAAAGCCACGGCUAACUACGUGCCAGCAGCCGCGGUAAUACGUAGGUGGCAAGCGUUGUCCGGAUUUAUUGGGCGUAAAGCGAGCGCAGGCGGUUUUUUAAGUCUGAUGUGAAAGCCUUCGGCUCAACCGAAGAAGUGCAUCGGAAACUGGGAAACUUGAGUGCAGAAGAGGACAGUGGAACUCCAUGUGUAGCGGUGAAAUGCGUAGAUAUAUGGAAGAACACCAGUGGCGAAGGCGGCUGUCUGGUCUGUAACUGACGCUGAGGCUCGAAAGUAUGGGUAGCAAACAGGAUUAGAUACCCUGGUAGUCCAUACCGUAAACGAUGAAUGCUAAGUGUUGGAGGGUUUCCGCCCUUCAGUGCUGCAGCUAACGCAUUAAGCAUUCCGCCUGGGGAGUACGGCCGCAAGGCUGAAACUCAAAGGAAUUGACGGGGGCCCGCACAAGCGGUGGAGCAUGUGGUUUAAUUCGAAGCUACGCGAAGAACCUUACCAGGUCUUGACAUACUAUGCAAAUCUAAGAGAUUAGACGUUCCCUUCGGGGACAUGGAUACAGGUGGUGCAUGGUUGUCGUCAGCUCGUGUCGUGAGAUGUUGGGUUAAGUCCCGCAACGAGCGCAACCCUUAUUAUCAGUUGCCAGCAUUAAGUUGGGCACUCUGGUGAGACUGCCGGUGACAAACCGGAGGAAGGUGGGGAUGACGUCAAAUCAUCAUGCCCCUUAUGACCUGGGCUACACACGUGCUACAAUGGAUGGUACAACGAGUUGCGAACUCGCGAGAGUAAGCUAAUCUCUUAAAGCCAUUCUCAGUUCGGAUUGUAGGCUGCAACUCGCCUACAUGAAGUCGGAAUCGCUAGUAAUCGCGGAUCAGCGUGCCGCGGUGAAUACGUUCCCGGGCCUUGUACACACCGCCCGUCACACCAUGAGAGUUUGUAACACCCAAAGUCGGUGGGGUAA